rnacentral:misc_RNA from 1 species
AAGUCGUAACAAGGUUUCCGUAGGUGAACCUGCGGAAGGAUCAUUACUGAGUGAGGGUCCCUCGGGGCCCAACCUCCCACCCGUGUAUACCGUACCUUGUUGCUUCGGCGAGCCCGCCCCCCCGUCCUUCGGGGGAGCACAGCGCUCGCCGGAGACACCAACGUGAACACUGUCUGAAGUUUUGUCGUCUGAGUCGAUUGUAUCGCAAUCAGUUAAAACUUUCAACAACGGAUCUCUUGGUUCCG